CCUACGGGCGGCACCAGUGGGGAAUAUUGCACAAUGGGCGCAAGCCUGAUGCAGCCAUGCCGCGUGUAUGAAGAAGGCCUUAGGGUUGUAAAGUACUUUCAGUUGGGAGGAAGGCGUUGAUGCUAUUAUCAUCAACGAUUGACGUUACCAACAGAAGAAGCACCGGUUAACACCGUGCCAGCAGCCGCGGUAAUACGGAGGGUGCAAGCGUUAAUCGGAAUUACUGGGCGUAAAGCGCACGCAGGCGGUUGAUUAAGUUAGAUGUGAAAUCCCCGGGCUUAACCUGGGAAUGGCAUCUAAGACUGGUCAGCUAGAGUCUUGUAGAGGGGGGUAGAAUUCCAUGCGUAGCGGUGAAAUGCGUAGAGAUGUGGAGGAAUACCGGUGGCGAAGGCGGCCCCCUGGACAGAGACUGACGCUCAGGUGCGAAAGCGUGGGGAGCAAACAGGAUUAGAUACCCUUGUAGUC
rnacentral:rRNA from 1 species